UAACGUUAAUGAUUACUAGAUGACAUUUCCAAAGAGUCGUGUUGCUUGAUAGUGCAGCACUAAGUGGGUGGUAAACUCCAUCUAAAACUAAAUAUAACCAUGAGACCGAUAGCAAACAAGUACCGUGAGGGAAAGUUGAAAAGAACUCUGAAUAGAGAGUUAAAUAGUACGUGAAACUGCUUAGAGGUUAAGCCCGAUGAACCUGAAUAUCCAUUAUAGAAAAUUCAUCAUUAUGAUUUUAAUAUUAAUAAUAUUAUAAUAAUGGUGUGCAUUUUUUCUAUAUGAGGACAUUGUAAUCUAUUAACAUAAAAUUUAUAUUUAUCAUAAGAUCAAUUCGCGUAAGUUUAUUCAAAUUAUUUUGCUUGCAAUUUAAUAUCGAAUAAAUGCAUUUGAUUUGAUAAAGUGUUGAUAGAUUUAUUAUAUAUAGUGCUUAAAUAUAUAUAUUUUAUAAUAGCAUAAUUAUCAUUGAUUUUUAUGUUUAUUUAUAUGCACUUAUAUGAUUAACAAUGCGAAAGAUUCAGGAUACCUUCGGGACCCGUCUUGAAACACGGACCAAGGAGUCUAACAUAUGUGCAAGUUAUUGGGUAUAAAAAACCUAAUAGCGAAAUUAACAUAACUUAUAUAUAAUGGGAUUAGUUUUUAGCCUAUUUUUUAAUAGUCUAUUAAUUCA
rnacentral:rRNA from 1 species